rnacentral:rRNA from 1 species
UACGACGGGGGCUAUCGUUGUUCGGAAUCACUGGGCGUAAAGCGCACGUAGGCUGGUUGGUCAGUUGGGGGUGAAAUCCCGGGGCUCAACCUCGGAACUGCCUUCAAUACUGCCAGUCUUGAGUCCGAGAGAGGUGAGUGGAAUUCCUAGUGUAGAGGUGAAAUUCGUAGAUAUUAGGAAGAACACCAGUGGCGCAGGCGGCUCACUGGCUCGGUACUUACGCUGAGGUGAGAAAGCGUGGGGAGCAAACAGG